rnacentral:rRNA from 1 species
UACGUAGGGUGCAAGCGUUGUCCGGAAUUAUUGGGCGUAAAGAGCUCGUAGGCGGUUUGUCGCGUCGGCUGUGAAAACUCGGGGCUCAACCCCGAGCCUGCAGUCGAUACGGGCAGACUAGAGUGCUGUAGGGGAGACUGGAAUUCCUGGUGUAGCGGUGAAAUGCGCAGAUAUCAGGAGGAACACCGGUGGCGAAGGCGGGUCUCUGGGCCGAAUACUGACGCUGGAGGAGCGAAAGCGUGGGGAGCGAACAGG